rnacentral:rRNA from 1 species
UACGUAGGGUGCAAGCGUUAAUCGGAAUUACUGGGCGUAAAGUGUGCGCAGGCGGCAGAGCAAGUCGAGUGUGAAAGCCCCGGGCUUAACUUGGGAAUUGCGCUCGAAACUACUUUGCUGGAGUGUGGCAGAGGAAGGUGGAAUUCCACGUGUAGCGGUGAAAUGCGCAGAUAUCAGGAGGAACACCCGUAGCGAAGGCGGCACUCUGGGCCGAUUCUGACACUGAGGAGCGAAAGCGUGGGGAGCGAACAGG